rnacentral:lncRNA from 1 species
UCUUAAAGUAUGUGUCGAAAAUGAUGAGACUUUGGUUCAGAAGCAUUAGUCACCCUGCUGACAUGCCUGUCUUGUCUGCCUGUCUGUCUCUAGCUUAUAAAUACACCACAACAUCACUGUCAGUACACAGUGGGCGGGAGAGACAGGAAGAGAGGAAGAUGUCACAGGUGAAGGAAAUAAUGACGCAAAGGAUGGGUAGAGAAGAAAGAGACACACCUUAAAGAAUAAUAGUUGAAGGGGGGGGGGGGUCGAAGUUGUAGACAACAAAUACUUGGCAUUUGGUGUGGUCUCUACAGUGCAAAAGAAUGGUGAUGGAACAGUUAUUUGUGGCUGUGCUAAUGAUGUCUGCACACCUAGCAGUCUCAUAUCCUCUGACUACAGAGAGCUAUUACAUGGAUGGAGGGAGACAAUGCAGACUGUGUCCACCAGGUCAUUAUCAGAAGUCCUGUUCAGAGUGCUCUCCCUGUCGAGAUGGUUCCUACACAACACGAUUGAAUGCUGAGUCCAGUUGUCAUUCCUGCUUUAAAGACUGCAAACAUGAUUUGCACCUGGUGGAGGAUGAGCCGUGUACUCCUGUAUCGGACGCUAGAUGUCGCUGUGAGGCUGGUUUUACCUGCACCGACAAAGACGACCAGACAGGAAACUGUAGAGACUGUGAGAAGAUCCCUCAGCUGCCCCCACCUCCCCUGCCACCUAGCAAUGUAGUGGGCAUCAGAAACAACCAGACAGGAACUUCCUCUGAACACAGCAGGACUUCCUCUUCCGCUGGACGCUGUCAACCUCCCAACUGUGACACUCCACGAUCACCAGUCUCACAAACAGGCAACGCCACUCAUCACACCACAGCUGACACCAGCAAACACUUGGCAGCCAUUUUGUGUCCUAUGGUGGUCAUUGGAAUCCUAGCCYUUAUCAUUCUGUUAUGUAUCCGUCGCCCAGGAAAUGAAGCCUGUUUCAAACAAGCUCUCAAGUUCUGUAACAAGGGAGUAAGAGAAACGUUGCCUAACAAGACCAAAGAGCCACCUCAUCAGCACAAUGCCAGAGAGGCACAGCCCAGUAUUAAGCACCAGACAGUGGAUCCACCACCUAUUACAGCAGCAAAUAUGGGCCCGGUCCAUGUCCACAAUGCUGGAACAGUCAUCUUCAGUUUACUCAACCAGUUCACUGGUAUGGGUGGAGGGAUGGAAGYGAGAGGGCAGAAAGAGAGGGAUGAGGAAGGAUGUCCGACCCACCCCACACCCUCCCCUAACAUCCAUCUAUCCCAGGAGGAAAGGGAUGGGGAGAUGGACUGUGUAUUCUUCCCUUCACAGGAACAAGGGAAGGACAGUCACAUUUCCAAAGAGGAGGUGCAUUGAGGGGAGGGGGAUUGAGGACAGAGGACGCACCAAGUGAAAGCUUCCCUUCUAGGAUCAGUUUAGCCAACCCUACAUCCUAAUGUUAAUCAUAAGGAGGAUUAAGACUUACCUUGGAUCAGUGGUAAGGGACAACAUCUACCUGGGGCUCUAUUCAGUCUGUAUCACUACAAAUUGCGUGAUAGGAACAGAGGUCAUUUCUGAAUGAGCCAACAUAUGCAGUGUUUAAUGUGAAAGCAGUCUCUUCUGACACAGGAACAUUGUCUUUACAUUUCUAUCAGGCUGUAAAGCUGCACUUCCACAAUACAGAUUGAAUAGAGCCCUUUUAUUUAACUAGACAGGUCAGUUAAGAACAAGUUCUUAUUUUCAAUGACUGCCUAGGAACAGUGGGUUAACUGCCUUGUUCAGGGCAGAACAACAGACUUUUACCUUGUCAGCUCAGGGAUUCGACCUUUUGGUUACUAGUCCAAUGCUCUAACCACUAGGCCACCUGCCACUCUUACUCUCAGAACAUCAGUGAAUCCCAGAACUCUAGAAUGGCCAUUAUUUCCUGUUCUAGACUUAGAUAGAGCUAGGCAUCUCACUAUGGUGGUCAUGUACACAUCCACUUGCUCUCAUUUUAUUGAACUGUAUAAAAAGCUUUGUCUCAACUGCUGCAAACUGUUUUUUUUCUGUGUUCAUGUGGCACCUUGAACUGUUUUUUUCACAAAUUAAAAGCAAAAUACGAAAUAUAAUUUUUCAAUGAAUACAGGUGAUGGGGCGAUUGUAUGACA